GGUAAUUUGUAUUAUUGAUUUGUAUUCAUCUCUAAGAUGUGCCUCUCACUGUGAAGUUCCAUGGAUAAAGAUUUGGCUUCAGUUUCUGUCUGGAAACCUGGCACCAUUUACUUACAAAUUAAAAAUACAAGUGAAUCAUUUACAUAUCUCCUAGAAACCAAAGAGUUUGUAUGUUAUACCUCAAGUAAUUUGGAUAAUGCCGUGGGUUGUGUUUUUUUCUUUUUUUAAAUUCUAAUUAAGCCGUCCAUCACUUCAAGGUGAUAAUUUUCUCAAGUAUGCUCUUCUUAAAACGAUUGCAUUUUAUUUAGUAUCUUACAGCGUGAAGAAUUUUGACUCCUAGGGAAAAUCUCAUGUAAGUGAUCAUCUGUUAUCUUGAGGGGAGGAGGAUGGGGAGGAGUCUUUUCUGAUCCUCUUCUUUUGAAAGCUAUCACCCUCCCACUCUAUGGGAUUUAGGUGGGUCUGUCAGAUACAUGGGUUUAAAUCCAGAACCUGCUUGAUUCCCAACUUCUGUAUCCUUUCUCUCCCCACAGAUACCAACCAUCUGGCCCUAAAACAAAUCUCAUCAGUUUAUGAACCAGGCAGCCCAAUCACAGUGCCUAAUUCUCCCUAUCACACAAUUGGUCAAGGAGGGAGCAAGUGACAUAAUCUAAAUUCUUUCCAAAGAUGGAUGCAAAUGCUGGGAAAGCAAGAGUUGAAUUGCUAGCCAUGAGGAAAACGUAAGCCUGAGCUGUUUGCUGGCCAUCUUUGCUUCCACAUGGGGAUGGCCUGCCUGGAAAUGAAGCCACACAGAGAAAACAGAAGAGCAGUGAAGAGAAGGGUAAAAGGAGAGAUCCCAUGACAUGAUUUGCACUCUUAGAUCCAGUUAUGCCUGAUGCAGGACCCACCCCUUGGACUUCCCAUUUCCAGGAGCUAAAACUAGACUGAGUUGAGUUUCUGUCACUGACAGUUGACAGAAAAUAUCAACAAUCCAGCCACAUGGAGCCUCAUGGCAGUACCACUAACCCUGGUCACCACAUGAAUACUGACCAGAGGCAUUUCACCUGAAUCAACUGUUUGUGUUCUUAACUCCAUCUCCUCAUCUGCUUCCUGGAAGACCCAACUGACAUAGAUGGUUACAAGAAAUGAUUUCCUCCUUAUAAAACUCUAGAUGUCAAUGUGAUCUUUCACAAGCACACUGAAAAAUUCACACCGUGGAAAAGAACUAAAGUCCCAUCCUAAUUCAUCAGAGCCUUCUGUUUCCUGUAACAAAGAAGAACUCACAAGAUCAGGAUUCCAAGGCAAACAAGAAUGAAAUGAUAACAGGCACAUCCACUGAAGCAAAACAGGUCACUGGAAGAAGAUAAUAUACUGAAGGACAAAUAAAAGUCAAGUGUAGCUGGGCCCAGAAUGGGUAGGUGAAAAUGUGUGGGAAGGAGAGAAGGCAUGUCCUUUUUCAUAAAACAGAUUUUUUUUGUUUUUUUUAAGACAGGGUCUCAUUCUGUCACCCAGGCUGGAGUCUGGUGGCACAAUCGCGACCCACUGCAGCCUCAACUUUCUGGGCUCAAGCAAUCCUCCCAGCGCAGCCUCCCAAGAAGCUGGACUGCAGGCAUGCACCACCAUGCCUGGCUAAUUUUUUUAUACAGAUAGGGUCUCACUAUGUUGCCCCGGCUGGUUGUAAACUCCUGGACUCAAGCCACCCUUCUGCCUUAGCCUCCCAAAGUGCUGGGAUUAUGAGCAUAAGCCACAGUGCCUGGCCAUAGAAAGGCUUUAAAAAUAUUAGCAAUGUGAAACAUGCACACUUGUGUGGUUUUAGUAUCUUCUUUGCCAUUUUGGCUGCCUGUACAAGAUGGGUACUCCAUAAGAUAUGGAAGCAAGCUUUUGAAAAGGUACUUUAAGAUAUAGUAUAAAAUGAUAAACUGGGCACGGUGGCUCACACCUG
rnacentral:lncRNA from 10 species